GAUGAAGAACGCAGCGAAAUGCGAUAAGUAGUGUGAAUUGCAGAAUUCAGUGAAUCAUCGAAUCUUUGAACGCACAUUGCGCCCUUUGGUAUUCCUUAGGGCAUGCCUGUUCGAGCGUCAUUUAAACCUUCAAGCUCUGCUUGGUGUUGGGUGUUUGUCUCGCCUCUGCGUGUAGACUCGCCUCAAAACAAUUGGCAGCCGGCGUAUUGAUUUCGGAGCGCAGUACAUCUCGCGCUUUGCACUCAUAACGACGACGUCCAAAAGUACAUUUUUACACUCUUGACCUCGGAUCAGGUAGGGAUACCCGCUGAACUUAAGCAUAUCAAUAAGCGGAGGA
rnacentral:misc_RNA from 1 species